rnacentral:tRNA from 1 species
UUUCCUGUGGCUUAGUGGUAGAGCAUUGCGCUAACAGCGCAAAGGUCGUGGGAUCAAAUCCCAAGGAAAG